rnacentral:lncRNA from 1 species
CUAUAUUUGGUGUAUGGAAAUAUUUUAAUAUUCCAUUUGUCAGUCGUGCAGGUUUUAUUUGACCUUGACCUCAUUUUUCGCGGUUCAUUGCUCAGUGUUAAGUUUUUGUGUUUUGGUCUGUUUUUCUUGUACUAUAUGCAAUAGGUCAACUAUACUUGUUGUAUGGAAGAAUUGUUAGCUGUACAUGCCUGCCUAGCAUGGUUCAUCUGACCUUGACCUCAUUUUCAUGGUUCAUUGUUCAAUGUUUAGUUUUCUUGGUUAAGUUUACUAGUAUGUGACAGUUGUAAUAAAGCUUUAUAUUUUGAACUAUCAACAUAAUAUCAAUGAUUAGUAAAGAAGGAGACAUUUCAGCGUGUGCACUCUUGUGUAAGUAAAUAUGUCUCUUUCAAGGCUGGUACCUUGAGCUUAUCAACUCGCUAGGCUGAUACCUCAAGAUGUUGAAGGUGACCAAGAAAUAUGGGGCGUCUGUCAUUCAGGGACUUGUUAGCCCUCUCACAUGUACAAUUCAAGACAGAUUUUUAUGAAACUUAUAUCACAGGUUUAAAUCAGCAAUGUCUUGAAAAGUUUGGAAAUCAGUGCAGAUCAAUAAUUUUUGAAAGAGUUAUACCACUUGGGAACAUUAACUACAUGGAAAAUUGUAUUGUUAGCUUUCAUUUGUAUAGCCUUCGUUACCAGAUUUUUAUGAAACUUAUAUCAUUGGUUUAUAUUAGCAAUAUCUUGAGACGAGUUUAAAAAUCAGCAAUGUAUUUGCUUGUGAUAAGUUCAGUUUACAAAAUGUUUGCAAAUUUAUUGAUAUUGUGCACCUUCUUUUAUGAAGUUGUUUAAUGAUAAGUUUUCCAUUUUUAGCUCACCUGGCCCGAAGGGCCAAGUGAGCUUUUCCCAUCACUUUGCGUCCGGCGUCCGUCAUCGUGUCCGUCGUCCGUCGUCGUUAACUUUUACAAAAAUCUUCUCCUCUGAAACUGCUGGGCCAAAUUAAACAAACUUGGCCACAAUCAUCAUUG